rnacentral:lncRNA from 1 species
UCCACUCUCUCCUUUUCCCCCUUGCGCCCACCUGUUCUGCUCCCGCUCUAUUUAAACGCCCCGACCCGCCCCCGUCUUCCCUCGCUCUGCACAUCAACCACCCACCCCGACUCUCCUCAAGUCUGAACAGGCUCCUCUGCUCCGUCUUCAAAAGUUCGAUCGACCGUUUCCUGCUCCUCGCUCGCAGCUAGCUCUCCGGCCAUGGCCUUCAAUUCCCCCUUCGACUGCCUCCUCAUCGGUAAUCAAUCAAGCUGACGACAUGUACCUUUCUUCUUGGUUCCGACGAUCACCAUCUGAUGAGUUCCUCUGCUCUGCUCCGUGAACUGAAUCAAGACCUCGACGACACGCUNNNNN